UCCACGCACUUAAGCAGAGUUACUACUGCUUGCUGUGGGUAAGACGAUUUUCACAUUCCUUCUGCCUCCACCUAACAUUUCUGAUAAGAGCAACAAGAAUGUAAGAAUGUGUGUUUAAUGCAGUUCCGAGUUCAGUUCCUCCUUUCGUGGGGCAAAUCUGCUCUGCCCGGGACCCAGAUGGAGAGAGACCCCGGCGGAACCCACGCAACCAUCCUGUGACCGAGACCGGCGCGCGGAUGCUGCGGGCACAGGGGCAGAAGGGAGAGAAAGGGUCGUCCCGACGCCGGCCAGCAGCCGGAGGAGUUAAAGUAACAAAGAGCUAAUCGCGCCCCAAAGCCCACCCAGAGCGGAAGCAACGCCGCCCCGCCGCCCCCGCCCGGAUACCCUCCCCAAGUUCAGGGCCGGCAAACGACUCGCACGCGGGGCCUGCAGCCAGGCCAGAGCCGGGUUCCCGGUCGGGAUGCGGGAAACAGCAGGUCCCUUUAUGCUUACCUCUUAAGAGUGUUCUGUUUUAAAGACCAGAAACGCUUGAAGACGAACUGUGCUCUUUUUCACCUUUGCAAAAUCCAGUUCCUGUGCAGAUCCCUGGCACAAGUUAGGUACUCAACAAUGCUGAAGGAUCCGUCCUUGGGAAGUAAAGGUCCAGUAUCUUAUUAGGAAAGAAACUAGCAAAUCUAACCCAACCUAACUACCCUCUGUGACUUAACCCUUGGAGGAUUGCCUAGGAUGUAGAUUCCUUAAGUGUUUCCAGGGAUCAAGAUGCCUUAAGUGUGUCCUUCGUCUUUAUCCCUCCGAG